rnacentral:rRNA from 1 species
GACGAACGCUGGCGGCGUGCUUAACACAUGCAAGUCGAACGGAAAGACCCUGCUUUUGUGGGGUGCUCGAGUGGCGAACGGGUGAGUAACACGUGAGUAACCUGCCCUUGACUUUGGGAUAACUUCAGGAAACUGGGGCUAAUACCGGAUAGGAGCUCCUGCUGCAUGGUGGGGGUUGGAAAGUUUCGGCGGUUGGGGAUGGACUCGCGGCUUAUCAGCUUGUUGGUGGGGUAGUGGCUUACCAAGGCUUUGACGGGUAGCCGGCCUGAGAGGGUGACCGGCCACAUUGGGACUGAGAUACGGCCCAGACUCCUACGGGAGGCAGCAGUGGGGAAUAUUGCACAAUGGGCGGAAGCCUGAUGCAGCAACGCCGCGUGCGGGAUGACGGCCUUCGGGUUGUAAACCGCUUUCGCCUGUGGCGAAGCGUGAGUGACGGUAAUGGGUAAAGAAGCACCGGCUAACUACGUG